rnacentral:rRNA from 1 species
UACGGAGGGGGCUAGCGUUGUUCGGAAUUACUGGGCGUAAAGCGCACGUAGGCGGCUUUGUAAGUUAGAGGUGAAAGCCCAGGGCUUAACCCUGAAUUGCCUUUAAGACUGCAUCGCUAGAAUCGUGGAGAGGUAAGUGGAAUUCCGAGUGUAGAGGUGAAAUUCGUAGAUAUUCGGAAGAACACCAGUGGCGAAGGCGACUUACUGGACACGUAUUGACGCUGAGGUGCGAAAGCGUGGGGAGCAAACGGG